UCUGCCCCAAAAAAACCCCAAAAUCCCGGGAUUCUGCCCCAAAUAAUUCCCAAAAUCCCGGGAUUCUGACCCCCAAAAAACCCCAAAAAAUCGCGAUUUCCUGUCCCAAAAAAACCCCAAAUUCCCGGGAUUCUGCUCCCAAAAAAACCCAAAAAUCCGGGAAUCUCACCCCAAAAAAUUCCCAAAAAUCCCGGGAUUCCCCUCCCAAAAAUCCCCCAAAAUCCCAGGAUUCUGCCCCAAAAUUCCCGGGAUCCUGCCCCAAAAAAAACCCCAAAAUCCCAGGAUCCCACCCCUAAAAAACCCCAAAAUCGCGAUUUCCUGUCCCAAAUAAUUCCCAAAAUUCCUGGGAUCAAGACCCAAAAAUUCCCAGAAAUUCUGGGAUUCUGCCCCAAAUAAUUCCUAAAAUCCCGGGAUUCUGCCUCCAAAAAACCCCAAAAAUCCCGGGAUUCUGCCCCCCAAAAAAACCCCAAAAAUCCUGGGAUCCAAUCCCAAAGAAUUCCCCAAAAUCCCGGGAAUCUCACCCCAAAAAAAUUCCCCAAAUCCCGGGAAUCUCACCCCAAAAAAUUCCCAAAAUUCCUGGGAUCCAGCCCCAAAAAUCCCCAAAAAUUCCCGGGAUUCCCCUCCCAAAAAAUUCCCCAAAUUUCAGGGAUUCUGCCCCAAAAAAACCCCAAAAUCCCGGGAUUCUGCCCCAAAUAAUUCCCAAAAUCCCGGGAUUCUGACCCCCAAAAAACCCCAAAAAAUCGCGAUUUCCUGUCCCAAAAAAACCCCAAAUUCCCGGGAUUCUGCUCCCAAAAAAACCCAAAAAUCCGGGAAUCUCACCCCAAAAAAUUCCCAAAUUCCCGGGAUCCAGCCCCAAAAAUUCCCAAAAAUUCCUGGGAUUCCGCUCCCAAAAAAAUCCCAAAAUCCCGGGAUUCUGCCCCCAAAAAUUCCCCAAAUUCCCGGGAUUCUGCCCCAAAAAAUUCCCCAAAUUCCCGGGAUUUUGCCCCCAAAAAAUUCCCCAAAUUCCUGGGAUUUUGCCCCCCAAAAAACCCCAAAAUUCCCGGGAUUUUGCCUCAAAAAAUUCCCAAAAAUUCCCGGGAUUUUGCCCAAAAAAAUUCCCAAAAAUUCCCGGGAUUUUGCUCCCAAAAAUUCCCCAAAUUCCCGGGAUUUUGCCCCAAAAAAAUUCCCCAAAUUCCCGGGAUUUUGCCCCAAAAAAUUCCCCAAAAUUCCCGGGAUUUUGCCCCAAAAAAUUCCCCAAAUUCCCGGGAUUUUGCCCCAAAAAUCCCAAAAAUCCCCCAAAACUUUGGGGCCGUUUUUGGGGUUUUUUUGGGGGGGAAUUUGGGGCUUUUGGGGUUUUUUGGGUUUUUUUGGGGGGUGGGGAUUUCUCAUUUUGGGGUUUUUGGGGAAUUUUGGGAUUUUUGGGGUUCUGAGGGGGAAUUUUGGAA
rnacentral:lncRNA from 1 species